rnacentral:rRNA from 1 species
AUGAACGCUGGCGGCGUGCCUAAUACAUGCAAGUCGAGCGAACAGACGAGGAGCUUGCUCCUCUGACGUUAGCGGCGGACGGGUGAGUAACACGUGGAUAACCUACCUAUAAGACUGGGAUAACUUCGGGAAACCGGAGCUAAUACCGGAUGAUAUAUUGAACCGCAUGGUUCAAUAGUGAAAGACGGUUUUGCUGUCACUUAUAGAUGGAUCCGCGCCGCAUUAGCUAGUUGGUAAGGUGACGGCUUACCAAGGCAACGAUGCGUAGCCGACCUGAGAGGGUGAUCGGCCACACUGGAACUGAGACACGGUCCAGACUCCUACGGGAGGCAGCAGUAGGGAAUCUUCCGCAAUGGGCGAAAGCUUGACGGAGCAACGCCGCGUGAGUGAUGAAGGUCUUCGGAUCGUAAAACUCUGUUAUUAGGGAAGAACAAAUGUGUAAGUAACUAUGCACGUCUUGACGGUACCUAAUCAGAAAGCCACGGCUAACUACGUG